rnacentral:lncRNA from 1 species
GGGGAGCGCGCCACGUGUCCUUUUAGGGGAAUCCGAAUAGAGUUGAUCCGGAUAGCGAUGCGCGCCACGUGUCAUCAGGGGGGAGGGGUCCCUACACAUUGAUGAUAUCUUUGAUUAGGGUGGAGUUCAUCCUUUUAUGGGCUUUCAUAAGAUAAAAUACGAUGCAUGGUUCCAUAUACCUAACGAAGCAUCUACAAGCACAACUUGGUAUAGGAAGACAAAUAAAUGUUAUGGCUAUCAUUUCAUUGGAAGAGUGAUUUAAUAGUAUGACACACGCACCCAAAAAUACAUGUAUUGCCCUAAAAGUGCCACAAAAUUCUGUCUACUAUUAAUUCUGUGGCUCCCUUCCAUCAAUUAUAGUUCCAACACUUGCUCUUGAUCCAGUUAUGAGCUCAUCACCCUCGCAUUUUGCAUCCACCACUUCUCCUGCCAUUCCAAUUCAAUAUACAUUGCAUCACUAAACAUUUGAUGAAGCUACAAACAUGGACAUUUACAUCAAAUUAACUACAGAACAUCUGGACUGACUAGUUAUGUAUAGACUGAUCAGUUUACACUGAUAAUUUGAUAUUUUUUCAUACACGUGGGGUGGAAAGAGAGAGAGAGAGAGAGGGCCCUAACUUUGGGAUAGUGACUAUCGCUAUGAAGUGACUCUUCCUAUUAAUGCGUUGGGAGCACUUAGAGCAAAAGAUAGAACGCUAAGAUGGUACUUGAGGACCAAGACGUGUGGGGUUCAUAUUUCCAAAACUGUUACUUAUGACAUCUCUUUCCUACACUUGUAAUUUUGGGAUGAAUAGGAGAGAAGAGAGGGUACUGGCGGGGGCUAGAAACAGAAAUACGAAGCAACAAAACGAAUUAUUACAGAGCCAACCAUAAAUCCCCAUCCCUUCACAAUCACUCCCACACUCCAGCAACCAUACAGAACAAUAAAAAAACCGAGUGCAAAGGUGUAAGGCAUAUUAAGCAUAUAGCGAAGCCAGCAACAUUACCUACUACACUUUGCUAGGUAUCACUUUGGCAAAGUUUUUGGAGGGACAGAGAGAGUUGGAAUUACAGGUGGUAUAGCCAUGAAAAGAACAGUUAUCCCUUUUCACCUCCAGAACCUACUGAUCCUCCCAGUAAAACAAUGGAUUGGUUAAGCAACAAACACAGGCUCAGUUCUUGUGGUGGGAAUAGAAAGAUAUACUAGUGAUUGAGAUGUGAGAGCAGAAUUAAAAGUAUCACAUAUAAAAAGGUUCAGUUCCUCCUUGGUAUUAGAUGCUUUCAGUUACUAAUCAGAAUCAAGGUACUGUAGGCCAUCCUUUAUCGAUGCUAUUAUAUUAAGCCAAUGCCUGUUUGGUCUUCCCUUGCCACCCCUUAGAAGAUCAACUUUUGUAACAUACCCACCGGUGUCCUUACUUUCACUAGAAAAGCAGCAGCAUGCUAGACAUUUCAAUGUUUGACCUUUUUUAUGAAACAACCCCAUCCACAUCUUGAGACAGGCAACCAGAAAAGACCAGAGAGGUCCAUACCUCAUGGGAGUCAAGCCACAUUAAAAAAUCUAAUCCUUUUCCCAACAACUUGAAUUGCACAAGCAGGAACUGGUGAGAUCUUGUGGUCCCAGUUGCCAACUCUUGGGUCUCGACUACAAUCUUAAGUUCAAGUACAAUCAAUAUUGAGCAGCAUAAUCAAUACACUGUAACUCGUCACAAACGCCAUGAAGGAGUUCAGGAAAAACGUUGAACGAUAUUCCUAGCAAAUUGCUGGGGAAAAAGUGGACACCGAAUGUUAACCCUCAUCUAAACAUUUAAUCUAUAACUCAGAAUCAGUGUCUCACGAACAAUUGAGUGUAAUCAAACUUGAGUUUACCUGAAUACUCAUUACAAUCAUCAUUUCAA